GACAGAGGGUGCGAACGUUGUUCGGAAUUACUGGGCGUAAAGCGCAUGUAGGCGGCAGCGCAAGUCGGGCGUGAAAUCCCACGGCUCAACCGUGGAAGUGCACUCGAAACUGCGCAGCUAGAGUCCUGGAGAGGAAGGUGGAAUGCUUGGUGUAGAGGUGAAAUUCGUAGAUAUCAAGCGGAACACCGGGAGGCGAAGGCGGCCUCGGACAGCGUA
rnacentral:rRNA from 1 species